GCAUGUCAAAUGCAACUAACAAGUCAGCAAAAUAGGCGAUCCCUGUCCCUGUGGUGAGAACCGGCUACUUUGAUUUGUUCUAUAAUUUGGAGCUCCUGCAAAGGAUUAAUAGGCCCAGAGUCGUUGUAAAGGGUUGAGACAUGGCCUCUGCGUCCAAGACUGACAUCAUAGACACAAGUUAUUGUUCCCAUGCAGGCUGCAAAAUGAACCUUUUUGCCACACCUAACGACAAGUAAAUGGAGACUUUGGCAUAUGUUUUAAGCGACCAUGAAUCUGUAUUUUGAAUAAUUUUGGUUCAAUGACAAUGGAAUAAUUAACUGUUUUGUUUUGCUUUUUUUCAGUAAUGAGUCACUGAGUUGUUUCGCCACUGUGAUCGAAUGCAUUUGGAAGAAUGUGUUUCCUACAAUACUUUUUCAAAGGGCCAUACCACCGCUACUGAAUCUACAGCGUGAAACAGUGUAGUCCAAUAUAGAAUGAACGACUCUGUCAGUAGCUUUAUUUCACUUGAUGAAAAUGAUUGCUUUUUCGUUAAAGUUAACAGUAACAACACUGAACUGAGUGCCGUGCUGUAACAGAUCUUGAAACCCACUAUUCCCUGGAUUAAAGUGGAGUGAGGUCAGCAUGUUGCCUUAACUCAGGCAAGAAAACUCUAUGGAGUGUAAUAUGAAUAAUGAAGUUGUCCCCUGAGCCACUAAUAUGACCUCAGGGCUAUGGUCCAAACAGUUUUCUCAGUGUUUGGGUGUAGUCGACCCGGGGUAUCCUUCAGACCCUGCAGCCACUGGAAUGAAAGCUGCCUCACUGCGGUUAGUUAAAUAGUUGGACAAUGACAGCAUGUGGUGGCCAUGACUCAAGGCAGUCUGGGUGAGCGAUGGAACUACUGAGCUCUGGAGGACAAAGGAGAGAGAAUCAGCAAGAAAACACACACCGACCUGGUUGAAAUUUACAUAGAAGGAUAAGAAGAAUUAGAUGGUUUCCACUGUCAAUGUUUCAAAAGUUAUGAGAACAGCUGGCAGUCUUAGUUAUUUGACUGCCAUAAUACAGUCUGAAGUCUUUAUUGGAUUACAUAACUCUUCUGGCAACAUUUGGAAGCACAAGAUUUGGAAUAAUAUUAUAAGCUCUCUGAUUGGUGAGUAGAUCUUAAUCCCCGCCUACAUUCCACAGUGACUGCUCGCUCUGAGAGCUUCAUGUUUUUCUUGGCUAAUUACACCACUAGCACAUUCCAAUAUCAAUAUCACCAUACGCUCCACAUCAAUAAAACACACAAUUUCUUUCUUACCUGAAUCUGC
ensembl:lncRNA